UACGUAGGCAGCGAGCGUUGUUCGGAAUUACUGGGCGUAAAGAGUGUGUAGGCGGUGUUCCCAGUCUGUUGUGAAAUCUCCCGGCUUAACUGGGAGGGUGCAGCGGAAACUAGAAUGCUAGAGGGUGGGAGAGGUAAGCGGAAUUCCUGGUGUAGCGGUGAAAUGCGUAGAUAUCAGGAGGAACACCUGCGGUGUAGACGGCUAUCUGGACGGUUACUGACGCUGAGACACGAAAGCGUGGGUAGCAAACAGG
rnacentral:rRNA from 1 species